rfam:Hordeum vulgare subsp. vulgare, WGS project CAJW01000000 data, contig: morex_contig_2546922
CCAAUCAAGGAUGAUGAUAUGGUGUCCUACAUCCUUGCUCGGCUGGACAUGGAGUACUAACCGCUCGUGUCUGCUCUCGACACGCGCACCACACCAGUCUCCCUCGAAGAUCUUUUUGCCAUAAUGAGAAAUUUUGAUC